rnacentral:rRNA from 1 species
AUUGAACGCUGGCGGCAGGCUUAACACAUGCAAGUCGAGCGGGGGAAGGUAGCUUGCUACCGGACCUAGCGGCGGACGGGUGAGUAAUGCUUAGGAAUCUGCCUAUUAGUGGGGGACAACAUCUCGAAAGGGAUGCUAAUACCGCAUACGUCCUACGGGAGAAAGCAGGGGAUCUUCGGACCUUGCGCUAAUAGAUGAGCCUAAGUAGGAUUAGUUAGUUGGUGGGGUAAAGGCCUACCAAGGCGACGAUCUGUAGCGGGUCUGAGAGGAUGAUCCGCCACACUGGGACUGAGACACGGCCCAGACUCCUACGGGAGGCAGCAGUGGGGAAUAUUGGACAAUGGGGGGAACCCUGAUCCAGCCAUGCCGCGUGUGUGAAGAAGGCCUUAUGGUUGUAAAGCACUUUAAGCGAGGAGGAGGCUACUCUAGUUAAUACCUAGGGAUAGUGGACGUUACUCGCAGAAUAAGCACCGGCUAACUCUGUGCCAGCCGCCGCGGUAA